rnacentral:rRNA from 1 species
AACGAACGCUGGCGGCAGGCUUAACACAUGCAAGUCGAGCGCCCCGCAAGGGGAGCGGCAGGCGGGUGAGUAACGCGUGGGAAUCUACCCAUCUCUACGGAAUAACGCAUGGAAACGUGUGCUAAUACCGUAUACGUCCUUCGGGAGAAAGAUUUAUCGGAGAUGGAUGAGCCCGCGUUGGAUUAGCUAGUUGGUGGGGUAAAGGCCUACCAAGGCGACGAUCCAUAGCUGGUCUGAGAGGAUGAUCAGCCACACUGGGACUGAGACACGGCCCAGACUCCUACGGGAGGCAGCAGUGGGGAAUAUUGGACAAUGGGCGCAAGCCUGAUCCAGCCAUGCCGCGUGAGUGAUGAAGGCCCUAGGUUUGUAAAGCUCUUUCACCAGUGAAGAUAAUGACGGUAACCGGAGAAGAAGCCCCGGCUAACUUCGUGCCAGCAGCCGCAGUAAUAC